rnacentral:rRNA from 1 species
ACGGAAGGCAGCAGUGAGGAAUAUUGGUCAAUGGGCGAGAGCUUGAACCAGCCAAGUCGCGUGCGGGACGAAGGCCCUACGGGUCGUAAACCGCUUUUAUACGGGAAUAAAGUGCGCCUCGUGAGGCGUUUUGCAGGUACCGUAGGAAUAAGCAUCGGCUAACUCCGUGCCAGCAGCCGCGGUAAUACGGAGGAUGCGAGCGUUAUCCGGAUUUAUUGGGUUUAAAGGGUGCGUAGGCGGGAUGUUAAGUCAGCGGUGAAAGCGUGUAGCUCAACUAUACCAAGCCGUUGAAACUGGCGUUCUUGAGUGUAAACGAGGUAGGCGGAAUGUGACGUGUAGCGGUGAAAUGCUUAGAUAUGUCACAGAACCCCGAUUGCGAAGGCAGCUUACCAGCAUACAACUGACGCUGAGGCACGAAAGUGCGGGGAUCAAACAGGAUUAGAUACCCUGGUA